rnacentral:rRNA from 1 species
GUCUACGGCCAUGCUACCCUGAAUAUGCCCGAUCUUGGAAGCUAAGCAAGGUCGGGCCUAGUUAGCACUUGGAUGGGAAACCACCUAGGAAUACCAAAUGCUGUAGGCA